GAUACCCCACUAUCAACCCCACCCAGCCUAGCCUUUAAACAGCCUAUAUACCGCCGUCGCCAGCCUACCUUAUGAAAGAAACAAAGUGAGCCAAAUAGUUAUACACUAACACGACAGGUCGAGGUGUAGCUUAUGGCCGGGAUAAGAUGGGCUACAUUUUCUAACAUAGAACAUACGAAUCAACUGUGAAACAAGAAACUGAAGGUGGAUUUAGCAGUACAUUAAGAACAAAAUACUUAACCGAAACUAAAGCAAUGAGAUGCGUACACACCGCCCGUCAUCCCUGUUAACAAACACUAAACAUUCAUAAAACAAAUUACACACCAAAACAGGGCAAGUCGUAACA
rnacentral:rRNA from 1 species